UUCUCGUCCCUGGUCAGCCCGGAAGUUGUUACGUCAUUUCCGUUGUAUCAGCUCCAGCGCUGAUCAGUGACGCGACG
ncrna:Branchiostoma belcheri (Belcher's lancelet) microRNA bbe-mir-4868a precursor